rnacentral:rRNA from 1 species
UACGAAGGGGGCUAGCGUUGUUCGGAAUCACUGGGCGUAAAGGGCGCGUAGGCGGCCGAUCAAGUCGGGGGUGAAAGCCUGUGGCUCAACCACAGAAUUGCCUUCGAUACUGUUUGGCUUGAGACCGGAAGAGGUUAGUGGAACUGCGAGUGUAGAGGUGAAAUCCGUAGAUAUUCGCAAGAACACCAGUGGCGAAGGCGGCUAACUGGUCCGGUUCUGACGCUGAGGCGCGAAAGCGUGGGGAGCAAACAGG